AGUGAAGCGGCAACAGCUCAAAUUUGAAAUCUGGCGCAAGCCCGAGUUGUAAUUUGCAGAGGAUGCUUCUGGGCAACGGCCGGUCUAAGUUCCUUGGAACAGGACGUCACAGAGGGUGAGAAUCCCGUACGUGACCGGCUAGUACCCUCCACGUAGCUCCUUCGAAGAGUCGAGUUGUUUGGGAAUGCAGCUCUAAAUGGGAGGUAAAUUUCUUCUAAAGCUAAAUACCGGCUGGAGACCGAUAGCGCACAAGUAGAGUGAUCGAAAGAUGAAAAGCACUUUGGAAAGAGAGUUAAAAAGCACGUGAAAUUGUUGAAAGGGAAGCGCAUGCUACCAGACGUGUCGGCAGUGUUCCGCCGGUCUUCUGACCGGUCUACUCGCUGCCGGCAGGCCAGCAUCGUCUGGGGGCGCCGGAGAAAGGUUAGGGGAAUGUAGCUCCUCGGAGUGUUAUAGCCCCCGACACAAUACGGUGACUCCCGGGCGAGGUCCGCGCUUCGGCUAGGAUGCUGGCGUAAUGGUCGCCUGCGGCCCGUCUUGAAACACGGACCAAGGAGUCUAACAUCUAUGCGAGUGUUCGGGUGUCAAACCCCUACGCGGAAUGAAAGUGAACGGAGGUGGGAACAUUGUGCACCAUCGACCGAUCCUGAUGUCUUCGGAUGGAUUUGAGUAAGAGCAUAGCUGUUGGGACCCGAAAGAUGGUGAACUAUGCCUGAAUAGGGUGAAGCCAGAGGAAACUCUGGUG
rnacentral:misc_RNA from 1 species